rnacentral:rRNA from 1 species
CCUACGGGUGGCAGCAGUGGGGAAUCUUACGCAAUGAUCGAAAGAGUGACGCAGCGACGCCGCGUGAAUGACGAAGGCCUUCGGGUCGUAAAGUUCUUUCGACAGGGAAGAAAAUGCCUAUAAGUAACUGUGUAUGUAUUGACGGUACCUGUAGAAGCAGCCCCGGCUAACUCCGUGCCAGCAGCCGCGGUAAGACGGAGGGGGCGAGCGUUGUUCGGAGUGACUGGGCGUAAAGCGCACGUAGGCGGUGUUGUAAGUCAUUAGUCAAAGACUCGGGCUCAACUUUAGUAAGGCUAGUGAUACUGUAAUACUAGAGUAUCAGAGAGGAUUGCGGAAUUCCUGGUGUAGCGGUGAAAUGCGUAGAUAUCAGGAGGAAUACCGUUGGCGAAGGCGGCAGUCUGGCUGGAAACUGACGCUGAGGUGCGAAAGCGUGGGUAGCAAACAGGAUUAGAUACCCCGGUAGUC